rnacentral:siRNA from 1 species
GAUUGGUGCCAACCGCUAAUAACC